GCAGGGGGAACUGCCCUUUAUAGAACCAUCUUCUGAGACUCAUUCACUUAUCACAAGAACAGCAUGGGAAAAACCCACCCCCAUAAUUCAGUUAGCUCCCACCAGUUCCCUUCCACCACAUGUGAGGAUUAUUACAAUUCAAGGUGAGAUCUGGGUGGAGACACAGAGCCAAACCAUAUCAAUUGAUAAUUAGCAGAUUAAAGGGAAAAAGGCAAAUCUGUUGACUAAGACAGCCUUCACAUUUCCCUCAGCUUGACUGUUACACAGUUUUCCUCCCGACCUCCUUGUCUAUUUUUUAGUUUUAAUUUUUUUGAUACAUAAUUGAUGCACAUAUGUUGGGGGUACAUGUGAUUACUAAAUACACUCACAAUUUGUAAAGAUCACAUCAUUGUGAUCAAGAUAUUCAUCACCCUACAUAUUUGCCUUUUCGUUAAGCUAGAAACAUUUAAAUUCUUAUCUUUAGCUAUUUUGAAAUGUACAAUAGAUUACUGUAAACUACAGUCACCCUGCUGAUUUAUUGAACAGUAGGUCUUAUUUCUUUUAUCAAACUCUGUAUUUGCAAGGCGGGAGGAUUGCUUGAGCCCAGGAGUUUGAGACCAGCCUGGGCAAUCUACUGAGACCCUGUCUCUACAAAAAAUACAAAAAUCGGCCUGGCAUGGUGGCACGCACCUGUAGUCCCAGCUACUGGGGAGGCUGAGGUGGUAGGAUCACUUGAGCUCAGGAGUUCCAGGUUACUAUGAGCUACGAUCGUAUCACUGUACUCCAGUCUGGGCAACAGAGCAGAAUUCUGUCUCCAAAAAAACAAAAACCCCUACUUAUUUGUACCCAUUAAUCAAACUAUUUUUAUCUCCCUUCCCAGCCUCUGGUAGCUACCAAUCUACUCUCUAUCUUCAUGAGAUCCAGGUUUUAAGCUCCCACAUGUGAGUGAGAACAUGCAGUAUUUUUCUUCUGUGCCUGGCUUAUUUCACUUAACAUAAUGACCUCCAGUUCCAUCCAUCAGGCCUCCUUUUUUCACGGAGGAUUUAUUUUAGGAAACUUGCAAUUGUGAGUUCUUUCUCUACCUCUUUGAGAGGCAAAUCUUCUCCCAAAUUUUCUUCUAGCCUCCUCCUAGUUUUGCAACCCAGGAAUGCCUUUCUCAAGACUUCAGAGCCAUCCCUUUAAAAUGCAAUUAUUGAAGGAGAUGAUACAUCUGUGUCUCAGUUUUUGUAGAAGGGCAGAUUCCCAGUUUUGAAAAAUUCCAAUGAGCCAACGCAGAUAGCUUUACGGCAUUUCCUAACCUCUUCCUGAUGUCUCCAGUUCCUUCUCAGCAUCUCACCCCGGCACUUAAAAACUCCCCAGCCUUUUGUUUCAAUGAAGUUAAGCUCCUCUCUUCCGUAUUGCAGUAGUCCUGACUGAGUCCUUCCUUGAAGGUUUAACUUGUCUGGUGCAAUUUUUUCUUUGACAAUGUCCAGAUCAAAUGAUCCCAUAAAAACAUCGAGUGUGAUUUUAGCCUGAGAAGGGGGAGGGUGAGAAGAUAGAUUGGGAGGCAGCUGUGUAGGCAGGGGACUUGGCCACUCCCUAAACCUCUCCCAGUCUCACCUGUAAAUGGAGUGCAUAGGCAGCAGUGCUUCUCCCCCAAGGCUGGGGCGAUGGAAUCAGUUAGACUAUUGAGGGCAUCUGGAAGGGCAUCUGUGUCAGGGUUAGUCCUCAGGGUAUGGUGGCCAAUGGGUUUCUUUUGGUUGACUGUUGACAAUGCGUUUGUUGAAUGGCAGCCUGCACUAGGUGACGCUGAAGCCACAGAAGACACUGCAGUGGGAAAACCAGCAUGAGCCGCUGCCCCCAAGGAACCUCGAAGCCCAGGCAGAGGACCAGCCAUCCCAGCCCGCAGGUAAAGUGUGUCACCUGUCAGGUGGGCUUGGGGUGAGUGGGUGGGGGAAGUGUGUGUGCAAAGGGGGUGUGAGUGUGUAUGUGUGUGAGCACAUGAGUGAUGGCUAGUGUGACUGCAUGUCAGGGAGUGUGAACAAGCGUGCGAGGGUUGUGUGCAAGUGCGUAUGCAUAUGAGAAUAUGUGUCUGUGGAUGAGUGCAUUUGAAAGUCUGUGUGUGUGUGGUCAUGAGGGUAAGUUAGUGACUGAAUGCGCAGGAUGUGAGUGUGCAUGGAACACUCAGUGUGUGUGUGGCAAGUGUGUAGGCGUGUGAGGACAGGCAGAAGUGUGUCAGUGUUGUGAUGGGAGUGUGAAUGAGUGUGCAAAAAGGUGAGUGAAUGCAUGGAAGUGUGUGUCAACUAUGAAGGCAUGUAGUGUGUCAGUGUGUGCAGUGCAAGCAUGUGUGGGAAUGAGUGCUUGUUGGUGUGUCCAUAUCCAACGGGUAUGUGUGAAAGCAUGUAAAAGUGUGUGUAGUGUGAUGGUGUGUGGAUGUAUCAGUGUGUAUAAAUGAGAGCAUGUAAAUGUGUAUGUAUGAGUGUUGAGUGUGCAUAUGUGAGGCUGUGCGUGUGAGUGUAACCAUGAGGGUGUGAACGUGCUUAAGUGUAUGUGCGUGUGACAGUGCAAGUGUAGGUGUGUGAUGCAUGUGUGGGUUUGCCAGUGUAUGAGUGUACAUGGUGUGGAUCUGAAUGUGCACAGUGUAAAGGGCAUGAGUGCAAGUGUGUGUGAGUGUAUGUGAAUGAGUGGUAGUGUGCAUGCAUGUGUGAGUGCACGCUCAGAAGCAUGGAUGGGUGCAAGCCUCCCCUACUAACUCCUCCUCCUUCCUGAGAUCAAAAAAGUAUGUGUUUUCUGUGUUUCAAAAAUGUUUUAAAAUUAUGUACUGUAUUUAAUAGCUCUUAUGACUACAGUGUUUUUCUCUCUGCUUAAAGUGCAGCAGGGGCUGGGCUGAGUGGAAAGAUUCUGGUAUUCUGGUGCUUUCCAUUUUCUUUUAGCUUAUCUUCAUUUUUGAGUUUUCUGGAAGAGCAUUUAUUGCUUUUUUUCUUUUUGAGACGGAGUCUCCCUCUGUCGCCCAGGCUGGAGUGCAGUG
rnacentral:lncRNA from 1 species